rnacentral:rRNA from 1 species
UACGUAGGGGGCAAGCGUUGUCCGGAUUUAUUGGGCGUAAAGAGCGUGUAGGCGGCCAAGCAGGUCCGCUGUGAAAACUCGAGGCUCAACCUCGAGACGUCGGUGGAAACCGUGUGGCUAGAGUCCGGAAGAGGAGAGUGGAAUUCCCGGUGUAGCGGUGAAAUGCGCAGAUAUCGGGAAGAACACCCGUGGUGAAGGCGGCUCUCUGGGACGGUACUGACGCUGAGACGCGAAAGCGUGGGGAGCGAACAGG